rnacentral:rRNA from 1 species
GACGAACGCUGGCGGCGUGCUUAACACAUGCAAGUCGAACGGUGAAGCGAGUGCUUGCACUCGUGGAUCAGUGGCGAACGGGUGAGUAACACGUGAGUAACCUGCCCAUCACUCUGGGAUAAGCACUGGAAACGGUGUCUAAUACUGGAUACGACCAACCCUUGCAUGGGGUGUUGGUGGAAAGAUUUAUCGGUGAUGGAUGGACUCGCGGCCUAUCAGCUUGUUGGCGGGGUAAUGGCCCACCAAGGCGACGACGGGUAGCCGGCCUGAGAGGGUGACCGGCCACACUGGGACUGAGACACGGCCCAGACUCCUACGGGAGGCAGCAGUGGGGAAUAUUGCAUAAUGGGCGAAAGCCUGAUGCAGCGACGCCGCGUGAGGGAUGACGGCCUUCGGGUUGUAAACCUCUUUCAGCAGGGAAGAAGCGAAAGUGACGGUACCUGCAGAAGAAGCACCGGCUAACUACGUG